UAUCGGUUACAAAAGUAAGACAUCCAUAGACAUGUGUGGUGUGUGUAGACGGACGUCCCCCGGAGAGGGGACACCCGCAGAGUGCACAGGUGUGAGAAUCACGUGACGGGACCGCGCGUGCAGCCCAAAGGCGCACAGCGAGGAACCGCGGUGAGGCGCCCCGUAGGGGCUUCGAUAAUGAUCCUUCCGCAGGUUCACCUACGGAAA
rnacentral:misc_RNA from 1 species